rnacentral:rRNA from 1 species
UACGUAGGGCGCAAGCGUUGUCCGGAAUUAUUGGGCGUAAAGAGCUCGUAGGCGGCUUGUCACGUCGAUUGUGAAAGCCCGGGGCUUAACUCCGGGUCUGCAGUCGAUACGGGCUAGCUAGAGUGUGGUAGGGGAGAUCGGAAUUCCUGGUGUAGCGGUGAAAUGCGCAGAUAUCAGGAGGAACACCGGUGGCGAAGGCGGAUCUCUGGGCCAUUACUGACGCUGAGGAGCGAAGGCGUGGGGAGCGAACAGG